GCAAAGCAAGGGAAGGCAUUUGUUUUUGGUGACCCACCCUCACCUGUACGCUGUCGUUCUACUUGUGCUCGUGACUCACUGCAGAAUAUGGUGCCGUAGAGACUCUGUAAUAUUGUAUGCUACCCAAGAAAACUCUGGAUGCUCGUCACGUUUUUGGCUGGCAAUGUCUUUUGCCCGUUUCUCCUCCACAGUACAAGCAGCACUUUCUUACAACGGAAAUGCUAAUUUGUCGAUAUUUCAAAUUAAUUCUACAUUGUUAUGUGAAAAGUUAAAAUGUAUGCUAACGUGAUUGCUAUGAAAUAUCACUACAUUAGCAUAACAUUGUAUAAUUUUAAUAGGAAGAAAAAUUUGCAUGCAAUCAUGAUUACCGGGUAGAGAUAUUUCUAACCAAUCAGAUGAUGCAAGUGAGUAGAUUAAAACAUGUAACAGAGUAUAAUAGACCUACAGUACCGCCACAUUUACGUUGCAAUUGCACUAAGUUUUUACAGUAGUUUGAGCCCAAAAAUGUCUUAUCCGAAGUGAACCACACCCUUCAGAGAGAAGCAGGAAGCCAGGCUGUGAUGCAAGAACACCAUCUCAAAGCUGCAGAAGUAACCCCACGUUUUAUAUUCUUUUUACUUUAAUUCCCAACUCUCAACUGGCAACGGGCAAGUGGCAAUCGCACAGUACCACCUCCAGAAAGUGCUUUAAAUUUUCAAGUAUUUCCCUUCAG
rnacentral:lncRNA from 1 species